AAACCACCAAAUCAAAUCUAUAUAUAUAUAUUUUUUAAAGGCUAUUUUUUUGCUUUUAGUGUUUAUUUUCUGUUACACAUAAUUAGAGUUCACAGAAUUAAUCAUACAAGAGUAGGUGCAGAGGCUCCAUGUUCAUUAGACAAUGCUCAUUGAGGUUUCAAAGUCCAUCUUGAGGGAUGCCCCCAAAGCCUAUUAGCUCUUAUAGCUAUCAAAGAAAAUAGGUUGAGGUGACUAUUUUAUUCCAACAGAUUUUUAACAUUUCAUGACAUACUCUCACUUCCAUGUCAUGCAUAUGCACUUCACAAUUAAUAUUUUCAGAUUCAGAAUAACUAAUAUUAUUGGACCUAUUUUUUAUGUAUUUAUUUUUAAAUUUUUGACUUUUAAAAAUUUGCUCUAAUCAGUUAUAUAUGACAGCAGAAUGCAUUUGGAUUCAUUGUACAUAUAUGGAGCACAACUUUUCACUUCUCUGGUUGUACACCAUGUAGAAUUGCAUAUAUGUGCAGUCUUACAUGAACCUAGUGUAAUGAUGUCCAUCUCAUUCCACCACCUUUCCUGAGAAUCUCCAUACUGUUUUCCAGAGUGGUUGCACCAAUUUGCAGUGCCACCAUCAAUGUAUGAAUGUGCCUUUUCCCCCAAAUCCUCAGCAACACUUAUUAUUGCUGGUAUUCUUGAUAAUUGCCAUUCUGACUGGAGUGAGAUGAAAUCUGAGAGUAGUUUUGAUUUUCAUUUCUCUAAUUACUAGAGAAAUUGAACAUUUUUCUCAUUUAUUUGUUGAUCAAUUGUGUAUCUUCUUCUGAGAAGUGUUAAAAAAGACUUUUUAGAAAAUUUAACUUUUAAUGUAGAGAAAAAUGAUUUCAAUGUCUACAG
rnacentral:lncRNA from 1 species